AAAAAUUUAGUUAAAUCAUAACGUCAGCUUGUCAUGCUGAAAUUAUUGCCAAGUAAUAAUUUUUA
rnacentral:tRNA from 1 species